UUUUUGAUAAUGAUUUAAAGUCUAAUCUGCCCACUGAUNAAAUUAUUAAAGGGCUGCAGUAUUUUGACUGUACAAAGGUAGCAUAAUCAUUAGUCUCUUAAUUGGUGACUUGUAUGAAGGAUUGGAUGAGAUAUAUACUGUCUCUAAUUAAUUUAUAAAAUUUAAUUUUUUAGUAAAAAAGCUAAAAUAAUUUUAAAAGACGAGAAGACCCUAUAGAGUUUAAUAAUUUAUUUAAUUAUUAUUAAUAUAUAAAUUUUAAAAUUAAAAUUAAAUAAAUUAUUUUAUUGGGGUGAUAGAAAAAUUAAAUUAACUUUUUUUUUAUAUUAAACAUUAAUUUAUGAUUAUAUGAUCCAUUAUUAUUGAUUAUAAGAAAAAAUUACCUUAGGGAUAACAGCGUAAUUUUUUUUUUUA
rnacentral:rRNA from 1 species